rnacentral:lncRNA from 1 species
GAGGGAAUGAGAUCUUUCGUUAACACACUCUGCUGCAACACCAGAUGGAUCAACAUUAGCUCAGAGCUGCAAUUCAUCCUACUUGUUCCUGCAUGGUGCUUCGGCAGGGGUUUAUUCAUACUUCUGGGGAAUAUUCACACACACGCACAGAGACAGGGAGAAUUGCAUUGCAAUGCCUUUGGAGCCUGAGACCAAGCAGCUGCAUCCAUAUAAAGAAGAUAGAUUAUACAAUACAGAAAAGCAUAGGUCACUCACAGACUCAAAACCUCAGACUGGAAAGAGAGCUGAAUCUCGAAAGCAACAGCUCAUCAGCUCAUCAGCUCGGGAAGCUGCGGGGAGGCAGACUGUUAUUUCCCUUGCUGAUACUCAGUACCAAAAAAGCAAGCAGCAAGAAGUCCCUAACCUGGUAGCAAAAGAGAAAUGAACUUAUAAUAAAUCGUGUGUUUCUGGAUUUGUGCA